UUCGACGCAACGCGAAGAACCUUACCAGGCUUGACAUCCCUCGACCGCGUAUGAAAGUACGUUUUCACCUCGGGUGACAGGGAGACAGGUGGUGCAUGGUUGUCGUCAGCUCGUGUCGUGAGAUGUUGGGUUAAGUCCCGCAACGAGCGCAACCCCUACGUUUAGUUGCUAACAGGUGAAGCUGAGCACUCUAGACGAACUGCCGUUGACAAACGGAGGAAGUGGGGAUGACGUCAAAUCAUCAUGCCCCUUAUGUUCUGGGCUACACACGUGCUACAAUGGCCGGUACAGACGGAGGCGAAGCCGCGAGGCGGAGCAAAUCCGAAAAAGCCGGUCUCAGUUCGGAUUGCAGGCUGCAAUUCGCCUGCAUGAAGUCGGAAUCGCUAGUAAUCGCAGGUCAGCAUACUGCGGUGAAUACGUUCCCGGGCCUU
rnacentral:rRNA from 1 species